rnacentral:rRNA from 1 species
CUUGCUUGGGGUACUCGAGUGGCGAACGGGUGAGUAAUACGUGGGUAACCUGCCCUCUUCUUUGGGAUAAGCCCCGGAAACGGGGUCUAAUACCGGAUAUUCUGCUUCUGCCGCAUGGUGGGGGUUGGAAAGGUUUUUCGGUGGGGGAUGGGCCCGCGGCCUAUCAGCUUGUUGGUGGGGUGAUGGCCUACCAAGGCUUCGACGGGUAGCCGGCCUGAGAGGGUGACCGGCCACAUUGGGACUGAGAUACGGCCCAGACUCCUACGGGAGGCAGCAGCC